GAAGUGGAGUGGUGAGGCGGGC
rnacentral:sRNA from 1 species